rnacentral:rRNA from 1 species
AACCGGGGGAACUGAAACAUCUAAGUACCCCGAGGAAAAGAAAUCAACCGAGAUUCCCCCAGUAGCGGCGAGCGAACGGGGAGCAGCCCAGAGCCUGAAUCAGUGUGUGUGUUAGUGGAAGCGUCUGGAAAGGCGCGCGAUACAGGGUGACAGCCCCGUACACAAAAAUGCACAUGCUGUGAGCUCGAUGAGUAGGGCGGGACACGUGGUAUCCUGUCUGAAUAUGGGGGGACCAUCCUCCAAGGCUAAAUACUCCUGACUGACCGAUAGUGAACCAGUACCGUGAGGGAAAGGCGAAAAGAACCCCGGCGAGGGGAGUGAAAAAGAACCUGAAACCGUGUACGUACAAGCAGUGGGAGCACAGAGCAAUCUGUGUGACUGCGUACCUUUUGUAUAAUGGGUCAGCGACUUAUAUUCUGUAGCAAGGUUAACCGAAUAGGGGAGCCGAAGGGAAACCGAGUCUUAACUGGGCGUUAAGUUGCAGGGUAUAGACCCGAAACCCGGUGAUCUAGCCAUGGGCAGGUUGAAGGUUGGGUAACACUAACUGGAGGACCGAACCGACUAAUGUUGAAAAAUUAGCGGAUGACUUGUGGCUGGGGGUGAAAGGCCAAUCAAACCGGGAGAUAGCUGGUUCUCCCCGAAAGCUAUUUAGGUAGCGCCUCGUGAAUUCAUCUCCGGGGGUAGAGCACUGUUUCGGCAAGGGGGUCAUCCCGACUUACCAACCCGAUGCAAACUGCGAAUACCGGAGAAUGUUAUCACGGGAGACACACGGCGGGUGCUAACGUCCGUCGUGAAGAGGGAAACAACCCAGACCGCCAGCUAAGGUCCCAAAGUCAUGGUUAAGUGGGAAACGAUGUGGGAAGGCCCAGACAGCCAGGAUGUUGGCUUAGAAGCAGCCAUCAUUUAAAGAAAGCGUAAUAGCUCACUGGUCGAGUCGGCCUGCGCGGAAGAUGUAACGGGGCUAAACCAUGCACCGAAGCUGCGGCAGCGACGCUUAUGCGUUGUUGGGUAGGGGAGCGUUCUGUAAGCCUGUGAAGGUGUACUGUGAGGUAUGCUGGAGGUAUCAGAAGUGCGAAUGCUGACAUAAGUAACGAUAAAGCGGGUGAAAAGCCCGCUCGCCGGAAGACCAAGGGUUCCUGUCCAACGUUAAUCGGGGCAGGGUGAGUCGACCCCUAAGGCGAGGCCGAAAGGCGUAGUCGAUGGGAAACAGGUUAAUAUUCCUGUACUUGGUGUUACUGCGAAGGGGGGACGGAGAAGGCUAUGUUGGCCGGGCGACGGUUGUCCCGGUUUAAGCGUGUAGGCUGGUUUUCCAGGCAAAUCCGGAAAAUCAAGGCUGAGGCGUGAUGACGAGGCACUACGGUGCUGAAGCAACAAAUGCCCUGCUUCCAGGAAAAGCCUCUAAGCAUCAGGUAACAUCAAAUCGUACCCCAAACCGACACAGGUGGUCAGGUAGAGAAUACCAAGGCGCUUGAGAGAACUCGGGUGAAGGAACUAGGCAAAAUGGUGCCGUAACUUCGGGAGAAGGCACGCUGAUAUGU